rnacentral:rRNA from 1 species
AUUGAACGCUGGCGGCAUGCUUUACACAUGCAAGUCGAACGGUAACAGGCCGCAAGGUGCUGACGAGUGGCGAACGGGUGAGUAAUGCAUCGGAACGUGCCCAGUCGUGGGGGAUAACGCAGCGAAAGCUGUGCUAAUACCGCAUACGAUCUGUGGAUGAAAGCGGGGGACCUUCGUGCCUCGCGCGAUUGGAGCGGCCGAUGUCAGAUUAGGUAGUUGGUGGGGUAAAGGCUCACCAAGCCGACGAUCUGUAGCCGGUCUGAGAGGACGACCAGCCACACUGGGACUGAGACACGGCCCAGACUCCUACGGGAGGCAGCAGUGGGGAAUUUUGGACAAUGGGCGCAAGCCUGAUCCAGCAAUGCCGCGUGCAGGAAGAAGGCCUUCGGGUUGUAAACUGCUUUUGUACGGAGCGAAAAGGCUCCCUCUAAUACAGGGGGCUCAUGACGGUACCGUAAGAAUAAGCACCGGCUAACUACGUGCCAGCCGCCGCAGUAACAC